rnacentral:lncRNA from 1 species
CUUUUACUAAUAUUUUCCAUGUUAGAUGUAUAUGUCAUAUUUAUCAUUUAAUUGUUGGUGAUGGUAUGAGAAUAUUAAACUUAGAAAUUGAAAAAGUUAAAAUGGCUCUUAAUUGGCUAUUUUAUUCAAACCGUAGAAGUAGACUUAGAGAAUAUUUUAAAAAGUGUGACGAAUAUGUACUUAGAGAAAGAAAGGUUCC